UGGGGAAUAUUGCACAAUGGGGGAAACCCUGAUGCAGCAACGCCGCGUGGGUGAUGACGGCCUUCGGGUUGUAAAGCUCUUUUGUGCGGGAAGAUAAUGACGGUACCGCAAGAAUAAGCCCCGGCUAACUUCGUGCCAGCAGCCGCGGUAAUACGAAGGGGGCUAGCGUUGCCCGGAAUCACUGGGAGUAAAGGGUGCGUAGGCGGGUUUCUAAGUCAGAGGUGAAAGCCUGGAGCUCAACUCCAGAACUGCCUUUGAUACUGGAAGUCUUGAGUUCGGGAGAGGUGAGCAGAACUGCGAGUGGGGAGGUUAAAUUCGUAGAUAUUCGCAAGAACACCAGUGGCGAAGGCGGC
rnacentral:rRNA from 1 species